AGAGUUUACCAUUCACGUGCAAGAUAUAAUGAAAGAGCAAAAAACAACCUAGAAACAAUCCAGGCAGUCAUUGAUGACUCUUUUUAACUUAAGAAGGGUUAGAAUCUUAAAAUUUACCAUAAAAUGCCAAACUCAGAAGAGACAGUGGGAAGCUGUGCUGAUUUACCUCUGUGAGGAAAUGUUAGUAUUUUAGCACUUGCUCUACAACCUGUCAAAUGGUGUUUCCCAAAAAAAGUAAAAAAAAAAAAAAAAAAAUAUUUAGUUAAUCUGAAACCUGCUUAAAAGAAGGAAGAUUUGCAAUUGAACAUAUUUUUGUUGUUGUUGUAAUAUCCAAACUGGAAAAAAAAAAUCUCAGCAGUAUGAAGUAUUGAAAAUAUUUGUGAAUAUUUUUGAUAAGAUCUGCCUCUUAUUUUCCCUGUUUAAUUUGGGAAGCUCUUUUUUAUACUUUUUUUCCUGCCUAUAUGGAGAUGUGUGUAUAUGUAUGAUGUGUAUUUUCAAAAAGCUGCAAAGAAAAAAAAUAAACUACAGUUUCAUAUUCUGUU